rnacentral:lncRNA from 1 species
AACCAGGGAGCAUAACAAGUUUUGCAGACCUGAAGAACAAAUUCAUUGCCCAGCAUUGUGGAAACACAAGAGUCAGGAAGGGCACUGAAUCAUUAUUCGCAAUCAAACAGAAUGGAGAUACGCUUCGGAAUUACACAACUAAAUUCACAGAAGCCAUGCAAAAAAACUCCGACCUAAACACAACAAUUGCGAUCUGCGCAUACUCAAAAGGGCUAGACAUGAACACACCAUUAGCAAUAAAGCUAAAUGUUAGUAAUGUGAAAUGCAUGGAAGACCUGCUAACAAAGGCCCAGAAGUACAUAAAUUCUGAGGAGUAUGAAAAAGAAAAAGAAAAAGAAA